CUAAUUUAUAUUAUAUCAAGCAUGGAUAUUAGGUUA
rnacentral:rRNA from 1 species